GAUGAACGCUGGCGGCGUUCCUAAUACAUGCAAGUCGAGCGAACAGACGAGUAGCUUGCUCCUCUGACGUUAGCGGCGGUUGGGUGAGUAACACGUGGAUAACCUACCUAUAAGACUGGGAUAGCUUCGCGAACCCGGAGCCAAUACCGGAUCAUAUAUCCACCCGCAUGGUUCAAUAGAGCACGCCUCUUUUGCUGACACUUAUUAGUUGAUCCCCGCCGCAUUAGCUAGUUGGUAAGGUAACGGCUUACCAAGGCAACGAUGCGUAGCCGACCUGAUAGACUGAUCAGCCACAAUGGAACUGAGACACGGUCCAGACUCCUACGGGAGUCAGCAGUGGGGAAUCAUCGACAAUGGGCGAAAGCGUGACGGAGCAAAGCGGCGUGAGUGAUGAAGGUCAUCGGAUGGUAAAGCACUAUUAUUAGGGAAGAAAAAGAGUGAAAGAAAAUAGGCACGUCUUGACGGUACCUAAUCAGAAAGCGACGGCUAACUUCGUG
rnacentral:rRNA from 1 species